UAGGGAAUCUUCCACAAUGGGCGAAAGUCUGAUGGAGCAACGCCGCGUGAGUGAAGAAGGGUUUCGGCUCGUAAAACUCUGUUGUUAAAGAAGAACAUAUCUGAGAGUAACUGUUCAGGUAUUGACGGUAUUUAACCAGAAAGCCACGGCUAACUACGUGCCNG
rnacentral:rRNA from 1 species